ACGAAAAGGCGAAGACGGCCGCGUAUUUUGUGAUCAUAUGUCGAUAUUGUCGUUUGUUAUUUGUUUAUGAAUGUUAAAAAUGAAAAAGUUUCCAGUUAAAAUUGAUCUUUCAACAUUUUUCGAGGACGAAAGAAAAUAUGUUAUAAUUCUUGUGGAUCCACAAUGGAAAAACGUGGAGUAUUUACAACGUCGAGUGGAAGAAAUAUUUGAUGUGCGGCCGGUCCGGUUUUUGACUAUAGAUAAUCUAUUUAUACCUCCACAAGAAUCUAUAGAAGUUGUAGAAUUUACGGAAUCUCUUAAAGCUUUUAUACCAAAACGAGCACUGGAGGAAUCUCGCCGACGCUCAAAGCAAUUGAAACGUGAAACUCAAGCAAUUCUUAAUAAUGUAGAAGAAUCGAUUGAAAAGAAUUUAGUUAAAAAGAGGAAGUACUAUACAUUGGGUAUGGAUAUUCAAGGAAGCUCUACUCCCAACCAUACGAAAAAAUCGAAACAUAUACCAAAAAUUGUAAAUCAGUCACCAGUAGAUAUAAUAAGACAAGUUUCCAAUGAAUCACAAGAAAUCACAAGUACUAAUGAACAAUUAAGCAUAUUGAAAGUCCAACUCAACAAAAGCGUCGAACAAAACUCCAUAUGCGAUGGUGCAAAAUCCUUACCGAUUUUGGUGGAAAAACAAAGUGUAACAACGAAUGAAACAAAGGAGAAUUCCACUAGUAAACGUAAACGUAAAAGGGCUCAUAAACAAAGCUCCGUUCUGUCCAUGGAUUUCGAGGAAGAAAAAACUGAGUGUACAUUGACGUUGCGGCCGGAAGUACCUUCGUCUACAUUCCUUAACAAUUCUAAAUCAUCGCAUAUAUACUUUGAAGACUCGACUAUCAUGGAAUGUAAAAGCAAGAAUCAACAAAAAAAAAGUAUUAAUAAGUCAACUACUGAUGGGAAAGCAAAUACAACCAAAGUAUCAUUUAAAUGUAAACGAAGUGAUGCAGAAUUUGAGAAACCAGUGGUCUUUCCCUUAAAAUAUAUCAACAAAAAUAAUAAACCUCUUAAAUCAAUCAUAGAUAUACAAGAAAAUAUACUUCUACAGCCAGCCAAUGCCGAUAUACUUUUUAAAGCGCCGCUUAUGAAUGAUGCAGAAAAUCAGUUGAAAGAAAAUGUUUUGUCAACUACUUUUAAUACAACAGAAAGCAAGGAAAAUGAAACAAUUGAUGAAAUCACGAAUAUUACAGAAACAGCUGAUAAUUUUGAACCCCAAACUAAUGCCAGCAUUAUCACAAAUGGUUUGGACCACAUCGAUUGCAAGUUGGUUAGAGACUCUGGUACAGAAAAAGAAAUACAAAAUAACAAUACAGAAAAAGAUAUACAAAAUAACAUUUUAAAAGAAAAUUCCAAUUGUGAGGGUAGAAUCAAUGAUGAGAAGGAUACUAUUACGGACGAUGACUCAAAUGGCAAAGACAAGAAUGUUACAAGGCAAUCACACGAUGAGCUUUACAAGAAUGAAAAUAAUUUAAGUAAGGAGGUACAAGAAGAUACAAUGUCCUCCAUUGACAAAAUAAAACAAACAAAUAUGACAAACUCCAAAUCUACCAAUAUAUUGGAAAUGUCCGAAUAUUCACAGCUAAUGGNCGAAAGCUCUGUCAUUGACUUGGAUGACGAUGAUGAAGUCGUAAUUGAUUUGAGUGAUGCUGAUGACCAACAAAAAUCGCUGGCAACAAGUCGUGGUAAGUUGUCUGAAACUUUAAAUAAAAGUAUAAGCACAAUGAGUAUCGAUGAAAUGCUUCCCUUUUGUGUGCCACUGACCGGUAUUCCUGAAUUGGGUGAUGUUAUCAUAUUUAAGAUGAAUCACAAUUCAUAGCCUGUAGAUGCGAACACAUUAAUAGACGCACUAAAGCUUUAAAGCUCGCUGUGAUAAAUGCUAGUCUAGAAAACGAUGUCCUUCCUCAAAAGUAUAAGUAUAGUUUAGAUGAUACUUUUGAAAUACGAUUUAUGAAUAUUAAGUUUACG
rnacentral:misc_RNA from 1 species